rnacentral:lncRNA from 1 species
AUGAGAGACAGGGAAAGGUUAGUGCUAGCUUUGUUCAAAAUGGAGGGAGAGAGGUGGCGCGCAAUACGAGUGGCCAGAAAAAUAAUCACAAAGGAAGAAGAGGCUCAACCUUUGCCUCUGAAGCUUGAGCCACCGCCGUACAAACCAACUAACAUGCAUCCACUGAUAACAGACAACGUGGAAUAUAAAGGGGAAGUCACACUAGAUGAAGGAGAUAAUAAAUGUAACACACAAGGGAGGGUCAGUGGGGACCCAGGCACAGAGGUUUCUGGCUACAGUACAUCCAUUCAAAGCCCCCUAGUACUCCAGUCACGGGGGAAACUAAGGAGAGCACGAAGGGGAAGAAAGGCACCCGACACCCUCCCAGGUAAUUAUCCCAUUCUAGUCAAAGGACAACAGGUCCAAUAUCAACCGUGGGGUUCACAGGACCUGGAGGGAGUCAUUUCUAAACUCCCCAACAUACAUAACGGGGCGUCUAAAUGGAUUGGAACAUUUGAGGAACUCACAGUGGGAAAGCUAAUGGCAGUGGGGGACCUGAAAGCUCUGUUGGCAAGAGUAUUGGGGUUAUCUAAAUUGGAGUCUGUACUGAGGAAUGGAGGGUUGGAUGUAAUGGACGUAAUGCAUGAUGGGAUUACACUUGAUUGCUACAGAGUGGCGAUGUGGAACACACUCAGAAGGGAGUUCCCGACCCAUAUCGAUCAUAAAAAUAUGAGAGGCCUCCCUAUCAAUGACACAGAGAAUCCUGCAUCCUACCUGCAGGCCCAAGUAGACAGAUGGCGCAUGGAGACGGAUGAGGAUCCUGAGAUCCAUCCGGUGUUCUCUGUCAUGUUUAGAAACUCUGUGAUAGAGAUUCUACCUAGCCCAAUCAAAGUUAAACUAGAUGAUGUGGUUGGACUGGUUACAAAUAAACCACAUAGAGACUUCUGUGACCAUGUGGUUCAUGCAGUGGAGAAAUAUCGGCAAAAUAAACAGAAAAUACAGGAACAAAGCAAAGAGGUGCAGAGGAAGCUAUCUCAGCUUCAGUGGGAAGAACUCACAAGAAGAGAGAAAGAGAAGAAGAAACAGGCGGUUGUUUCAGAGCCUGUUGGAACAAUAUUGCAAGCCGUCCAGCAGGGCGCACCACAAACCCAACCUCCUCAACAGGCAUUCUCUACCCUAGUACAACAGCCUCAGAGCCAAUGGUCACCCACUCCACCAUUCAUAUACACCAUUCAGAUACACCUACAUAAUACUGGGAACCCAACAAAUGGGAAUAGGCAGGAUCAGAAUAAGGGGCCCAAAGGUCAGUAUAUAAACAAUUUACAACAAGGACACCAAGGACAGUUUAGAAACAAUCAACAACAAGGAUCCCAAGGACAACGCAGAGGUCCUUUAAUAUGUUAUGGGUGCAACAUGGAAGGACAUAUUAGGAGGAAUUGUUUGGCUAACCCCUAA